rnacentral:misc_RNA from 1 species
UCUCGGCUUAUCACCGGCAGUCCCCCUAGAGUGCCCAACUAAAUGAUGGCAACUAAGGGCGAGGGUUGCGCUCGUUGCGGGACUUAACCCAACAUCUCACGACACGAGCUGACGACAGCCAUGCAGCACCUGUGCAGGCUCCCGAAGGAGCACCGGCUUUCACCGGUUUCACCCUGCAUGUCAAGCCCUGGUAAGGUUCUUCGCGUUGCGUCGAAUUAAACCACAUGCUCCACCGCUUGUGCAGGCCCCCGUCAAUUUCUUUGAGUUUUAACCUUGCGGCCGUACUCCCCAGGCGGAUGACUUAAUGCGUUAGCUGCGGCACAGAGAACCGGAGAGGCCCCCCACACCUAGCGCCCAACGUUUACAGCGUGGACUAC